rnacentral:rRNA from 1 species
UACGAAGGGUGCAAACGUUGCUCGGAAUUAUUGGGCGUAAAGCGCACGUAGGCGGCUUUGCAAGUCGGAUGUGAAAUCCCUCGGCUCAACCAAGGAAGUGCAUCCGAAACUGACAGAGCUUGAGUACCAAAGAGGAAUCGCGGAAUUCCCGGUCGUAGAGGUGGAAAUUCGAUAGAUAUCGGGAGGAACACCAGUGGCGAAGGCGGCGAUCUGGGUGGAGUACUGACGCUGAGGUGCGAAAGCGUGGGGAGCAAACAGG